UUUGGUCCUGUCGAUGACGGGGAUGAUGGGGCAGACCCAGAGAGGGAAGGCGCCUUCGGAAAGCCCCUGCUGUGUGCCAGGCGCCUUAUCUCCUGGCAGGCAGGCGCCCCUGGGAUCCCCAUCUUACAGAGGAGGUUGUGGGACUUCCCUGAGUCACCCAGCCAGUAAGUGUCAGAGGCUGGAUUGGAACUCAGACCUUCCCCUCUGCAGCCCAGGUCCAUGCCCUGCCCAAGGGAGGUGAGGAGGCUUCCCCAGCCAGCUGGAGCCAGAACUCGGGCUCCCGAGGCCUGGGGUGCCGUCUCCCAGGUGGCCCUGGCCCAGCGUGGGGCGUCCAGCCCUGAGGACUCCGCCCGCUCGGCUGUGGGGUGGCCCCGGGCCCAGCAGUGACAGAAGCAGCCCGGGCAGCAGGGGGCAUGCAGGGCUGGCCCAGCCGGGCCCCCUCCUCCGUCGCUUCAGAGCCCCAGGUCACCUCCUGGCAGGAAGUUCAUAUAUUGUCACUUCUUGACAGUUGGAGAAACAGAGGCUCCCAGAACCACAUAGUUGGGACAGGAUUUCUCCAACCCCGUUUCUGUCGAAACUCUCCCUCUUUUUGUCCUUGGCCCCCCCUCACACGCCCCCUCCCAUUUGUGCCCUGCUCCCCCAGCCUUUUUCCCCCACAGGGUCCCCAGAGGAGAGACUGAGGCAGGAAGGGGUCCUGGAGGACAUGGGCCAGGAAAACCAGGGUGAGCCGGGCCAGGAAGUGCUCCAUCUCCCCACAGGAGUUGGAAGGAGUUAAAAGAAUCAGGGCUAGGAUACGGCAUGAGUCAGAUCUGCAAAGGCAUUAUUGAGAGAAGGCAAGAGAAACCCUUCAAAAGCUGGCCAUGGCCAACUGUCCUCCCAAGGGGCACCUGUAAGCCGGCCUUUCGUCACUUGGCGGUAUCUAAAACGCGCGAGGAGGGGCUUGUGUCCAGUGUCAUGAUUGCACUCUUUCAUUAAAUGGAAAAUGGUGGUGACCGAGACCCCUUCCUUUACCUUGGAUGAAGCCCGAUUCUCCCACCCUGGCUCUGCUUGUAGUGAGACAGGCUGGCUUUGAAGUCCAUCCUCAGGACGCUGGGAAGUCACCAUCAUGGUCACGAUGGCCAGAUAAGGCACUGGGGGCCAAACGCCUGCUCUGGGGUCACCCAGCUGUCGGGGGCCUGCGCUCUCCCCGGCCUGCCCCACAGCCGCCAGAACCGGCGCUCCAGAGAGAGCUGGGGCCGAGGGUGUGCUGAACAAGCAUGGGCUCAGCCUUGUAUACUCUGAGAGGCAGUGCAGCCAAGGGCCCCCAAGUGGGCCCCGAGGUCAGGAAGCCUGAAGUCAGGAGGCCAGCAGUCAGGAGGUGUGAGGUCAGGAGGCGUGAGGUCAGGAGGCCCCAAGGUCAGGAGGCCCCUGGUCAGGAGACCUGAGGUCAGGAGGCCCCGAGGUCAGGAGGCCCCUGGUCAGGAUGUCCCAAGGUCAGGCUCUGCUGCUGACACUCCCUGGCUCUGACUCUGAGCAAGGCCCUGCUUUGGGCCUCCAGCCCCUGGGGUGCUGCAGAGGUGUCGGCAAGGAGGGGAUUGUCAGUGACAGACCGGGGCCAGGCCCCUUUCCAUCCACUGCAUGAUUUCAUUCCAUUCCCACACCCCUGUGAGCAAGGAGCUGUGAUUGGAGCCUGUUUUUUAAAUGGGGAACUGGAGGCUGAACCCCACGGGCCGACUGUGCUGUGGGGAGCCCUCCCUGCUCGGGGGCACGGCGGGAGGAAGCCCUGCGCCCAUCCUCAUUCUCCUCUGGGCUCCUCUGAAAAGCCCCGGAGGACAAAGCAAAAACAGGUCAGAGUGGGCGGAAAUCCAGAUGAACAAGGCCAUGGCCAAAGGGCCUUAUCCGGGCUCACGCUUCUGAAAGAGCGGCUAAAUGCACUCCUGGCUGUGGCUGGGGGAGGGACUCGCCUCCCUCCUUGGUUUUGACUUGGCUAAACCAGGAGCCCCCAGAGUCAUAGCCGGUGUGUCUGAGCCAGAUUUGAAUCCGGCUCUUUCUCCCUUAAUCCCAGCCCUGGCUCCAUGGAAUCUUGUUUGUCCCCUUGCUGGGGCCCGGAUGAGCCCAGGGGGGUUCUGGGCCACCUCCAGCUUCAGAGAGCAGUGCCAAUGGCCACCAGCUGUCAGCUGCAGCCGCUGCAGGCCUGCUAGUGCCGCCGGGGUCUGACCCCUGGGGAGUCUCCGCGCCUCUUGUCCGGGGGCUAUUCAAGGCUUCUUGCUGGCAGGGAGGGAGUCGGGGAUGAGCCGGGGGCAGAGCUGUUUUCCAAGGUCCCCUAUGUGUCCAGAGCCCCGUGACUGGACUUUGUUGAAACAAAGAAACGCCAUAGAACAUUGUGUGCUGGGAAAUCACCGGCCUCCUUGGGCUGGAGAUUAAGCCCUGCCUGACUCACUCCUUGCAUUAGAAAUCACUGCGAUUUGCGCCGAGUCCCAGCCUGCACCAGGUGGACAGCCAGGACUCUCAGCUUGUCCUGGGGGCUCCUUUCAGGGCCCAGCUUUGAUCCAUACUCCUGGCCUGCAAACCGUAGUUUGGGAUCAAAGAUUGAUCGUGUAUGGAUAAAGAACAUUGUGAAUCCCAACUGGUCCAAAAUAAAUGGCUCCUGACGAAUCAGCUUCAGUUUCUGGUGCUUCACCUGAGCUCCUGCUAUGCCCCGGAGCCACGGUGGGCUGGGAGAACCUCCCCUUUCUGGAGGAGAAGCCAGGACUCCCCUCGUCCUCAGUGGCAGCUUUGUGUUCUGUGGCUUUCUGCCAGAGGCACCUCCUUGACAUGACUCCUCAUCUCAGACUUGGGGUCACUGGGCCUUCAGUUCGGAGUCGCUGGGGUGGCGUCAUCCUUCACCCCCAAAUUUCCAGCCUAGAGUCCUGGUGGAGCCAGCAGGAGCCUGAUGCUGGGGGGGGGGGAGAAGGUGAUAGCCCCACAUUCACAUCGCCACCUUGUUUUCCCUGGCCUGGGAAAGCUUUAGUGCCUGUUACGGAACAGCCUUUCCCUUGUUGUGCAUCAGAACCACUAAACAAAGCUAAUUCCCUCCAGGUUAAGGAAAAUAUGGCAGGACAUUUCAGAUAGAUUGUCCUCAGGAAACUGCCGCCUUCUGAUUAUUGAAAUGAAAUGUCUGCAAAUUCAGGGGUUUAGCCAAAAGAACUCCUAAGGGGAAGUUCUGGUAAGAUCUCUAAUAGUAUAGAUGGGUAUAGGAUAUACCUUUGAGAUCAUCUGGUGCAGCUGUGUGGAGCCCAAGGUCCCCACUCAAGGCCGGGCUUUGCCUUUGUGAAUGGUGACCUCUGAGGCACAGAGGUUCCAUUGCUAGAGCCCUUCACACUUCCCAGGCCCUGGGGGUAGCUGGGCAGGCCCUCCCUGCCCGGGUCACCCCUCUCGGUCACCCUCCCUGCCCAGGUCAUCACCUCUCUCUGUCACCCUCCCUGCCCAGGUCACCUCUCGAUCACCCCGGCCUCUAAGGUGUAGAACUUGGAGGUGGCCGGCGGUUCCCGGCGUGCACUUGCAGCUUUAAUUACCCUGCCUCCCUCAGAUAAAGGUCAGCAACACAAAAGCUGGCUUAUGUGCGGAUGGAACAAGCCAGUUCAGGUCAUCUCCACGCUCGUGUCUCUGGCCCAGAUCUUUUUAAAAAUAAGUCUGGUUGUGCUGAGCCGCGCGCCCUCGGUCUCGGCUGGCCUGGUUUGCUUGGCUUGGCUCGAAGGUGUUGUGGUGAUAAACAGUUAGGCCGCACCCGGGGCUGCCCCCGGGACUGGGCGAGACCCCCCUGGGCAGCCGCCGGUCCGGGAGAGCUUUAUCGGGGGAGGUUUGGCCACAUGUGGCCCCAGCAGGAACUCUGGCCUCGGAGCGUGUUGGUGGGUUAACGGCUUCUGACCUGACAGAGAGAUCCCUGGGAAACAUUAGGGGCACAGAGCUUCCCUCCUUGCUGGGACUUGAAUGGGGGAGGGGGACGGGCCUGGUCUCCCGCAGGGUUCCAUUGUCAAGGAAGGUUAUUGCAAAGGCCAAGUUGAAAGCAAGAUUUCGCCCCAUCGUUGUCCGGGUGCUUCAUGUGACCCACCAGGGCAUCCCCGGAGGGGGGGAGGGGCACA